UACUUUUACUAGUAUACUUUUUUUUAUACAUCAUUAUACAUAAUGAUUUACUUCAAUAUGCUUUAGCAUUCUUUAUUUCAAAAUAAGAGAUUAAAAAAAUUGUAGUUUUAUACUUUUUUUUAUUUAGUAAUUUCUAUUUUCUGUCUUUUUUUUUUAAUAUUUUUGAUAUUUUUGUAAUAUGUAAUACAUAUGACUUCACAAUGUAAAAAGCAAAAGAUUUCUUUUUUAUUAUCUUCUCUUAUUGUUAUUAUGUAUUAGAAGACAAGUAAAAACUUAUAAAAAAACUUAUAAGAUAUGAGAAAAGAGAAUGAUAAUAAAAAAAGACUAUAAAUGAAGU
rnacentral:misc_RNA from 1 species